GGGGUGAUCCAGUGCAAUGAACCCCCGCGCACUUUGUAACUCGAAAUGCAAAUGCACACCAGGCCCUGGAGGGAAUAUAUCGGAAAAGACCUCUCUUUAUGGAGAAAACUAUGUACGAUACGAUACGCUAAUGUGGAGCACUCAAAACACACAGGCAGGCAGCGCCGACAUUAGGGUCUAGUUAGCAUAAUAUAAUGCAGACCGCCACCGGAGGGCGGCAUACCGAAAUAACAAUGAACACACGCAAAGUAUGUGUGUGUGUUUUGGGGGAAAGGAAAGGAAAACAUUGGGGCAGCAGUUUUGAAAACAUUUAACCGUUUCACCUCGCUGAACUCUGAGCACGAAAAAGCAAAUUAAGCAAACGAACUAAACCCCAAAUAGCGUGGCAGAGUUUUGUUUUGGGCCAGGAGCCCAAAUUUUUAAUAAAAAAAAUAAUUUAUCUUAGAAUCUUGAAAACCUCCUUUUAAACAAGAGAUACUAGACUAUCUGCAGAUUCAUUCUGAGCACUAAUUCAAAGUAUAUCAAGACAUACUUAUUGUAAAAACGCUAUUGCAAUGAUAUUGCACAUGUGCGCCCGUGAGUGCGCAUAAAAAAAAAAAAAAGCGCAAAGUGCGGCCAUAAAAAAGCACAGUUAAGCUGAUUGGCAGCCGGGUGGGGGGAGGAGGGGUUAUAAACACUGACAGGCCCUGACAACCCUGGCUGGCAGGCAGAUCUCUGCUGGUCCACCACCAACAAUGGAGCCGAUUCUUUGGCUCUAGCUUUUCAUAAAACGCCCGACGUUGUAUUGAAAUGUCACGCAAGCAAUUUACAUAAAUGGAGUUGCUUCCGCUUGGCAGAGAGGUGGCGGAGAGAGGAAAAAGGAAAGAGUGGAGAGAGGAUAGAGAGGGGAAAAGCAAAUAGCAAACAACAAUGCAUCUGAGAAAAGUAUCUGUAUCUGUAUCUGCGUAUCUGAGCGCAGCACACGUACGAAAACAACUGUUAGCAAGUGGCGAAUGGCAGGGCGAAAGGUAUGAGCCGAUAGCUGGCAAAGCGGAAGCAGACGAAGGAAUCGAAUCGAUCAAACAAUUUCCGAGCCUGUUCGUCUGCCGAAACUACACAGAAAAAAAAGUAUAUAACUUUAAUUAAUUUUUUUUUUAAUUAAAUGAAAAUUUUAAUAAACAGUUAUACAUAUAACUUAAAAGACUAUCUUUGAAAUAGAUCUAAAUAGUUCAAGUCAUGCAUCUCUACUAUAUCCCCCACUGACCAACUUCACGGUCAGUUAACACCUUAAUUUGGCUACAAAUUGCUCAAGUUUUGAAUUUCUUCUGCUUUUCCCAUUUUCUUUUGGCCUCUUGUUUUGGAGGGCAAGCUGGGAAUCCAAUCCGAUGAUGACUGGGAAAAGCCGAUGCGUGGACGCACGUGUUGGCCGCGUUAACACCGCGAACCAUGCUAUUUGUUGGAAAAUCAAUUUGGCCGUGAAAUUGGGCGCAUAGCGAAAAACGUGCUUUCCGCACCCCAAAAAAUACAUACUUGGCCUUAUGCGACGACGCAAAGAAGCCAGCCGGCCCCUCCGAACAUCCUGGCAUUGAGCAGGACCUCUCUAAACCUAACCUCAAAAAACCGAACAAAAAUCGAGGAAAACUGUCGGAAAACUUGGGGCAGGCAAUGGCCAGUAAGCACUGCCACCGUUGGUGGUGGUUGGUUCCCAGCUAUGAAAUCAUUUCCGCUGACAUAAGUGGGUGUGGUCCCCCAGGGACCGACUGUGGGCACACUUGUCACACUCGAAAAUUAAUAAUUAGAGCCGAGCAGCUGCACAAAAUCAAUAAAAAUUAUACGUUGAGAGUGCAGCGAUUUAUCCAAUAAGUUUGCCUGUUGCCAGGCGGGGCAGGAGACCCAACCACUGAACCCACCCCCUGAACAAAAUCCCGAUGACUAAGAACGAUUUCGCUUUCCUUGACCAAAAGUCCAACAAAAGAUGGAAAAGAUGGAAACGCGUGCCCGACACCUUUCACUUUAUUUGUUAGUCGCUGAAAAAAUAUGUGUGUUAAGCUAAUGAAUGAGCGAUUGAAUGAAUGACUGAAUGCCAAAAGAUGCUGCACGACUUUAACAAUAAAGAGACUCUAAGAUGUGUAUGUCCACGCACCAGAGGGAGAUAGAUAAUAGCCGAGACCAGACAUGGGUUGGAAGGGGGAAAACAGAUAUCAAUAUCGAAAGUUGGCAAGGCGUACGCACCUGAUUUUUAGCCAAGAUGCCGUCCAGGUCCAGGUCCAGUGCCCGCUUGCAUACACUAAAUUAAUAUCAAUUUGCGGGCCAAGCCAAGUGAUGUUAUAGCCCGGUUAUAGGUCUACCCGCCGAUUUCCAAGUCGCUUGAAGGAAAGCGCCGCUAAUGAGUGGAGGAAAGGAAAGCGGACUCGUAUCACCAGUUGUUGUUGUUGCUUGUUGCUGUUGCACACACUCGAAACAAUUUGUUCUUUUUUCCCCAACAACACGUUAUUGAAUCUCUUUCACUAACUGGUUUUCACUGCUCGCCAAUAUACACACACACACAAACACACACACCAACCACUUUCCAGGGUUCUCUUUUUUUUCGGCGAUUACUGCGAUUGCACCAAAUCCGUGUCCGGCGCUUCAAAUGGAAUGUUAGGGCCACUCGGCGGCCAACAAUUGGCUAACUAAGCUAGUCG